AAAUGUGUGUGGGUAUGGUUAGGGAAAGGUUCCUAUUCACAUUUUUUUUUGCUGUGGAUCUAUAAUGUGUUAUAUUAUGUUUAUGUGAUAAUGAUGUGAGCCUCUCUCUGUUCACGCCUUUUGUAAACUUUGUUCAAAUCGUCUUCGCUGCCAUAGUAUCAUCUAUCGUCCACUUGCAGUUUUUCUUUUCAUGUUAUAUACUUUUGUAUGAUUGUCAAGAUAAUGAUUGUGAUAGCACGUGAGCUGUAUUCUCCCAUCUUAUAAUUGUGGGAUUAUGAUGAGGGUUUAAGUGGUGAAAGUCACACUACUUUUACAUUAUAUAGUUUGAAUUUAUUGUUUUAGACAGUUUGUAACUUUUAAAAAAAAAAUGUUGCAGGCUGGAUAGCCUUAUAAUGGAAGCAACAUCAAUUGUUACCUACAUUGAGACUUCAAACGGUUGCUGUUGGCCAAGCUAAAGUACUUGACAGCUUGUCGGAAACUUAUCAAGAAGAAAACAUUUAGGGACAUCUUCUGGAAAACAGAGAAGUCUCUCUUUGCCUUCACCUAAAACAGACGGAGAUGAAGUGAAUGUUGAGACAAACGCACAGAUUGAUCCGGAGUUAGCCAGACUGAAGACUAUGAACGUACAUAACGCGGCAGCGAUUGCAGCACAGGCAGUUGCAGAGGCAGAGCCUGCCAUGGCAGUGGCUGAAGAAGCUGCAAAGGAUGCAGAGUUAGCAGAGGCCGAAGCAGAAGUAGCUCAAGCUUUCGCAGAAGAAGAUACAACAACUGCAAAGUGGUAAAAACACACACCCCAUUUAUCACACAACUAUGACAUGAAAUCUAUGACAAAGAAAAUGCUUAUUGAUGGUUGUAUUGAAAAUUUGAUUCAACAGAUGAUCCGUGCCUAAGAUGAUGGAGAGAGAAUUAGUGUGUUGUGACUUGUGUGUUCAAUGAUUUCUACAUGGGAACUCUUUUCAGUUUUGCUUAAUCAAUUGAUAGUUGAUAAUAUUUGAGUAUUAAAGUUACCGGAAAAUAAAAUGUUUAUUUAUGCAUAUUUGAGUUGUUCAAUAGAUUCUCGCUAAAAGCGUUGUCACUGGAAAAAUUGCAAAUUUGGAUUGCUUUUGACUGUUCUUCUUAUUAAGAGAUACGUGUUGUGGAGAUACAGGGUUGCUCAUGGUGUAAAUAAGGUGAUUCAUGUGAGAUGAAUAAUGGAUGGCUGAGUUUGGUCCAAGCUCUAUAUUUCUCUCCUCAUGUUUAUGUGAUUUUUUCAAAAGUAGCAUUGGAGUAUGAGAUAUGUGAUGCUCAUAUAGCUAUCCAAGCCAGACUGAUGAGCCAAGUGAGUGCUUUUGUUUCAAAAGCAUAAACUGAGCCACUCUUUGUCUUAGCGCUAACACUUAUCAUUUUUAUAAAUCAGGAAUUGAACUGAUUUGCACUGAAGUGGAGCAAACUCAACUUCAAACUGUCUGACUCUCCUCUAUCGAUGUCUACCGCAGCGAUGACUCUGCUGAUCAAGCCAAGCGCUUCUUCACCAAGCUCAUCGAGAAAGAAGUUUUUUGUUCCUAUUUGCUUUGUGGCCUUCUAAGAGAUUCGUGUCUAAAUCCUAAAAAUAUUUAAUUCGUGUCUGAGAGAGUCACUAAGUGAAACUAAAAUCUUACAAAGCAAUGAACACAUGUGUUCGGAAUUUGAAAUUGUUGGAAGUAGUGAACAAGUUUGAUAAUUGGUUUAGGUUAUAUAGUUUGGAUUUGAAUUUCAGGCUUUUUAAUUAAAAACAGAGUAUUCAUUUAUUAAUAUGUAGUUUGAUUGGUCAGGGUGAUAAACAGUCAAAUGGGGCCACUUCCAUGUUUGCACAACAUAGUAACGUUUAACUGAUGAUAUCGUCCAUGCAAAACUGUAAUGAUGCAUGUUUUCUCUCCUGCCUUCACCGUAUAGUCGAUGAUGAAAGUGGUGAUCUAUAUAGAUCUUCAGGCAUUACUUUUAGGAGUUAUAGGAGAACCCAUAAGGGAUAACUUUAUCGUGUGUAUGAGUUACUUGAUGAGAAGACAUACUUUAGAAUCAUCAGUGGAACCACAGUGAAUUCAUCAAGAUUGAUGCAUAUAGAAUGGAAGUUACAAGCCUCCUAUGGCUGUCACAAGUGCUUUCCUAGAGUAGACAUGGAAUACAGUACAAGAAGAACGAACUUUAUUGGUGAACUGAGCGUGAUUAGGAGCACAGUGAACGACACACAAGGCAGACGACGUAUAAUGGCAUUUACAGCUCAGCAUCCAAAGAAGCAUUUAAUGAAAAAGAUGGUUGGAAACAUGCGCGUGAAGCAGAGACAUAAUUCAAAGAAGCUUUCUUCUUGGUUAAUGAAUGGUCAUCGGGUUUGAGUUUCUUUAUAAUCCAUAUAUAGACAUGACGUGGUGUCACGAAUACUAAAGUCUCCCUCAUUUCCUGUUGAAUAGAAUCUAGCUAAAGGGUUUGUCUGCAUGUUGAGGUUUGUAAUAUGUAUUGGCAGGGCGUCCCCCCCAUAAGGCCAGUGAGGAAAGGGCUUUAGGCCACAAAUUUUCUGAGGCCACAAAUUUUCUGAAAAAUGAUUAUGGUCAAGUGGUUAAAAACAUUAUUUUCACUUUUUGUUUGAGUUGGAGUUUGCACCUUUAACGUUAUGGUUUAUGUUGACUUGUAAUGUUUCCUUCUUUUCUUUUACAUGUGCGUUCCUCUCUUA